CGACCUCAGAUCAGGCGGGACUACCCGCCGGAUUUAAGCAUAUUAAUAAGCGGAGGAAAAGAAAACAACCGUGAUUCCCUUAGUAGCGGCGAGCGAACCGGGAAAAGCCCAUCGCCGAAUCUCGCCGCGCACUUUUGUGUCGCGGCACGUAUGAGAGUUGUGGCGUACGGGCCGGCCUCGUUGCCGGGGCGCACGUGACGGUCCAAGUCUCCCUUGAACGGGGCCAUGGCCCGCAGAUGGUGCCAGGCCAGUAGAGGCCGUCACAGCGUUCCGGGAUCGGACCGCGCCUUCGAGUCGGGUUGCUUGAGAGUGCAGCCCGAAGCGGGUGGUAAACUCCAUCUAAGGCUAAAUACGGCCACGAGACCGAUAGUUUACAAGUACCGUGAGGGAAAGUUGAAAAGAACUUUGAAGAGAGAGUUCAUAAGAACGUGAAACCGCUCGGUUGUAAACGGACAGAGCUCGCGAAUCCCCGCCGGGCGAAUUCACGGUCGGUCUAACCGCCGGCCGGAUCUUUCGCUCGGUUAGCGGACGUCGCGACCCGUUGGGCGCCGGCCGAAUGGCCCGGGUGACGUUCGUCGCGUCGGUCGCGUUUCGGCGUGACCGUUCGCGCCGAGCCCCGGUGCUCAUGGUCGGCUCGCCCGACGGCAAGAACCGUCGACGCGGCCCCGUCGCAGGCGGGGUCCCGUCGGUCGGCGACGUGUUUCGAGCUACUUUCCGACCCGUCUUGAAACACGGACCAAGGAGUCUAACGUGUGCGCGAGUCAACGGUGAUCUUACGAAAAACCACGUUUGGCGCAAUGAAAGUGAACCGUUUACGGUGCGGACGAUGGCCUAGCGACCGAACCCACCGGCGUUCAAAGUCGCGCUGGUCCGCAGUCCGGGGGCGUCUCCGCCAAGUCGGCUUCGGCCGGCUGGGGGCGCACCCUUAGCGCACACGUUGGUACCCGAAAGAUGGUGAACUAUGCCUGGCCAGGAUGAAGUCAGGGGAAACCCUGAUGGAGGUCCGCAGCGAUUCUGACGUGCAAAUCGAUCGUCUGAGCUGGGUAUAGGGGCGAAAGACUAAUCGAACCAUCUAGUAGCUGGUUCCAUCCGAAGUUUCCCUCAGGAUAGCUGGCGCCGAUGUGUCCCGCCCGUUCGCGGGCGUACGGACGCCGGUGGGACUCCGCGCUGUACGGCGCGGUAACAACACGCUCGUAACACGGAGGAUGUCUCAUACGGUAAAGCGAAUGAUUAGAGGACAUUGGGGCCGAAACGACCUCAACCUAUUCUCAAACUAUAAAUGAGUGAGAUCGCCGGCUUUACCUGGUACACCGCGUGAACCGCGUGCGAAGCCGGCGACGGAACCCUAGGCGCUUAGUGGGCCAUUUUUGGUAAGCAGAACUGGCGCUGCGGGAUGAACCGAACGCCGAGUUAAGGCGCCGAAAUCGACGCGUAUUCAGAGACCAUGAAAGGCGUUGGUUGCUGAUGACAGCAGGACGGUGGCCAUGGAAGUCGGAAUCCGCUAAGGAGUGUGUAACAACUCACCUGCCGAAGCAACUAGCUCUGAAAAUGGAUGGCGCUGGAGCGUCGUGCCUAUACUCGGCCGUCGACGGCAUAGUGGGGCCAGUCGUCGCUCGCGGCGGCCGGUCCCGGCAAGCCUCGACGAGUAGGAUGGCGCGGCGGUG
rfam:Acyrthosiphon pisum strain LSR1 Contig4869, whole genome shotgun sequence.